GCAAGAAGUGAUGAACACAAUCCAUAUAUUCUGCAAUUGAAUGAUGAAUAUCAAACAUGCACUACCAUCUGAUCUCUG